GAUGAAGAACGCAGCGAAAUGCGAUAAGUAAUGUGAAUUGCAGAAUUCAGUGAAUCAUCGAAUCUUUGAACGCACAUUGCGCCCGCCAGUAUUCUGGCGGGCAUGCCUGUUCGAGCGUCAUUCCAACCAUCAAGCCCCCGGCUUGUGUUGGGGACCUGCGGCUGCCGCAGGCCCUGAAAAGCAGUGGCGGGCUCGCUGUCACACCGAGCGUAGUAGCAUACAUCUCGCUCUGGGCGUGCUGCGGGUUCCGGCCGUUAAACCACCUUCAUAACCCAAGGUUGACCUCGGAUCAGGUAGGAAGACCCGCUGAACUUAAGCAUAUCAAUAAGCGGAGGA
rnacentral:misc_RNA from 1 species